UUAACUCAUAUUUCUACAGCAAAUUCACUACAUCAAUCUGCAGUUAUACCACAUAAUUUUUACUGCAAGUUAUAUCAAA
rnacentral:sRNA from 1 species